GAGUAGGGCGGGACACGUGUAAUCCUGUCUGAACAUAGGGGGACCACCCUCUAAGCCUAAAUACUCGUAUGCGACCGAUAGUGAACUAGUACCGUGAGGGAAAGGUGAAAAGCACCCCGAUGAGGGGAGUGAAACAGUACCUGAAACGGAUUGCCUACAAGCAGUUGGAGGGGUCUUGAGCCCUGACAGCGUACCUCUUGCAUAAUGGGUCUGUGACUUAAUGUACCAAGCAAGCUUAAGCCGAUAGGUGUAGGCGCAGCGAAAGCGAGUCUGAAUAGGGCGAAUGAGUUUGGUGUAUUAGACCCGAAACCCGGCGAUCUAGGCAUGACCAGGAUGAAGGUGCGGUAACACGCACUGGAGGUCCGAACCGAUUAACGUUGAAAAGUUACCGGAUGAGUUGUGUUUAGGGGUGAAAGGCCAAUCAAGCCGGGAAAUAGCUGGUUCUCCGCGAAAACUAUUGAGGUAGUGCCUCGGAUGGACACCUCAGGGGGUAGAGCACUGGAUGGUUGCGGGGGUCGCGAGACCUACCAAUACUAACCAAACUCCGAAUACCUGAGAGUGAUAUCCGGGAGACAGACGGCGGGUGCUAAGGUCCGUCGUCAAAAGGGAAACAGCCCUGACCUACAGCUAAGGUCCCCAAGUCAUCACUAAGUGGGAAAGCAUGUGGAACUUCCAAAACAACCAGGAGGUUGGCUUAGAAGCAGCCAUCCUUUAAAGAAAGCGUAACAGCUCACUGGUCUAAACAAGAGGUUCUGCGGCGAAGAUGUAACGGGGCUAAAGUGAUGCACCGAAGCUUAGGAUGUGAUCUUAGGAUCACGUGGUAGCGGAGCGUUCCGUACGCCUGUGAAGCGGUCUGGUAAUGGGCCGUGGAGGUAUCGGAAGUGCGAAUGCAGACAUGAGUAGCGAUAAAGAGGGUGAGAUGCCCUCUCGCCGAAAGACCAAGGGUUCCUGCGCAAGGCUAAUCCGCGCAGGGUGAGCCGGCCCCUAAGACGAGCCCGAAGGGGGUAGUCGAUGGGAACCACGUUAAUAUUCGUGGGCCUGGUGGUGUGUGACGGAUCUCGUGUGUUGUUCACCCUUAUUGGAUUGGGUGGGCUUCGAAGAGGUUCCAGGAAAUAGCCCCACCGUAUAGACCGUACCCGAAACCGACACAGGUGGUCAGGUAGAGUAUACCAAGGCGCUUGAGAGAAGUGUCCUGAAGGAACUCGGCAAAUUGCCUCCGUACCUUCGGAAGAAGGAGGCCCCCACAGUGCGCAAGCAUUAUGGGGGGGCACAGGCCAGGGGGUAGCGACUGUUUAGCAAAAACACAGGGCUCUGCUAAGUCGGCUUCAAGACGACGUAUAGGGCCUGACGCCUGCCCGGUGCCUGAAGGUUAAGUGGAGGAGUGCAAGCUCUGAAAUGAAGCCCAGGUAAACGGCGGCCGUAACUAUAACGGUCCUAAGGUAGCGAAAUUCCUUGUCGGGUAAGUUCCGACCUGCACGAAUGGCGUAACGACUUCCCCACUGUCUCCAGGACAUGCUCAGCGAAAUUGAAUUCCCCGUGAAGAUGCGGGGUUCCCGCGGUUAGACGGAAAGACCCCGUGCACCUUUACUGCAGCUUCAGAGUGGCAUUAGGAAAGAACUGUGUAGCAUAGGUGGGAGGCUUUGAAGCAUUGGCGCCAGCCGGUGUGGAGCCAUAGGUG
rnacentral:rRNA from 1 species